rnacentral:rRNA from 1 species
AGUGAACGCUGGCGGUAGGCCUAACACAUGCAAGUCGAACGGCAGCACAGUAAGAGCUUGCUCUUACGGGUGGCGAGUGGCGGACGGGUGAGGAAUACAUCGGAAUCUACUUUUUCGUGGGGGAUGACGUAGGGAAACUUACGCUAAUACCGCAUACGACCUACGGGUGAAAGCAGGGGAUCUUCGGACCUUGCGCGAUUGAAUGAGCCGAUGUCGGAUUAGCUAGUUGGCGGGGUAAAGGCCCACCAAGGCGACGAUCCGUAGCUGGUCUGAGAGGAUGAUCAGCCACACUGGAACUGAGACACGGUCCAGACUCCUACGGGAGGCAGCAGUGGGGAAUAUUGGACAAUGGGCGCAAGCCUGAUCCAGCCAUACCGCGUGGGUGAAGAAGGCCUUCGGGUUGUAAAGCCCUUUUGUUGGGAAAGAAAAGCAGCAGGUUAAUACCCCGCUGUUCUGACGGUACCCAAAGAAUAAGCACCGGCUAACUUCGUA